CUUAACCUACCCAAAAACUCCCGAGCAGGCCCGAAACCCUAAUUACCCCAGUAAGAUCUUGCUUGAUUUCAUUGUUGAAUUGAUGAUUUCUUUUACCUAACACGAGAAUUAAUGAUGUUCUAUUCUGAUAUACGAAGUAUUUAGAAUCAUUUUAUGAUUAUUUUAACACUUUAGAAUUGGAAAAUAGACGCUAAAAUUGAUGAUACGGUCAAGAUUUCUUUGUUGUUUUUCAUUUUUAACCCAGUAAAACCUGGUCCAGUUCACUCAGUUACUGGUUAAGCCUGCCAUAUGACCAGAUCCCCACCCACUUUUUAACUACAGCGAUUUUAGCAUGAACGGGAUUUGUGUUUCCCGGUCGAAAUCCGGCUUGUUUUUGACAAUAUUGCUUAACAUAUGGUCUAUGUAUUAUUUUGUCCACUUACCACACGUGAAAAGAGUAAUUG
rnacentral:lncRNA from 1 species